rnacentral:rRNA from 1 species
AUUAGAUACCCUGGUAGUCCACGCAGUAAACGAUGAGCACUAAUUGUCCGGUCCGAAUGAGGACUGGGUGAUACAGCGAAAGCGUUAAGUGCUCCACCUGGGGAGUACGCCGGCAACGGUGAAACUCAAAGGAAUUGACGGGGGCCCGCACAAGCGGAGGAACAUGUGGUUUAAUUCGAUGAUACGCGAGGAACCUUACCCGGGCUCAAACGCGGCGUGAAUACUUUUGAAAGGAGGUAGUCAGCAAUGACACGCCGCGAGGUGCUGCAUGGUUGUCGUCAGCUCGUGCCGUGAGGUGUCGGCUUAAGUGCCAUAACGAGCGCAACCCCUACCGUCAGUUGCCAACAGGUAAGGCUGGGGACUCUGACGGGACUGCCGGCGCAAGCUGCGAGGAAGGCGGGGAUGACGUCAAAUCAGCACGGCCCUUACGUCCGGGGCGACACACGUGUUACAAUGGCAGGUACAGCGGGAAGCCACCUGGCGACAGGGAGCGGAACCCGAAAGCCUGUCUCAGUUCGGAUUGGAGUCUGCAACCCGACUCCAUGAAGCUGGAUUCGCUAGUAAUCGCGCAUCAGCCACGGCGCGGUGAAUACGUUCCCGGGCCUUGUACACACCGCCCGUCAAGCCAUGGAAGCCGGGGGUGCCUGAAGUGCGCUGCCGCAAGGAGCGCCCUAGGGUAAAACCGGUGACUGGGGCUAAGUCGUAACAAGGUAACAAGGGCGAAUUCGCGC